CCUACGGGUGGCAGCAGUCGAGAAUCAUUCACAAUGGGGGAAACCCUGAUGGUGCGACGCCGCGUGGGGGAAUGAAGGUCUUCGGAUUGUAAACCCCUGUCAUGUGGGAGCAAAUUAACAAGAUAGUACCACAAUAGGAAGAGACGGCUAACUCAGUGCCAGCAGCCGCGGUAAUACAGAGGUCUCACGCGUUGUUAGGAAGCACGGGGCGUAAGGCGUGCGUAGGCUGUUUCGUAAGUCGUGGGUGAAAGGCGCGGGCUCAACCCGCGAACUGCACAUGAUACUGCGAGACUCGAGUGAUGGAGAGGGAACCGGAAUUCUCGGUGUAGCAGUGAAAUGCGUAGAUAUCGGGAGGAACACUCGUGGCGAAGGCGGGUUCCUGGACAUUAACUGACGCUGAGGCACGAAGGCCAGGGGAGCGAAAGGGAUUAGAUACCCGUGUAGUC
rnacentral:rRNA from 1 species